rnacentral:snRNA from 1 species
AAAUGUGAGGGUGAUCUGGCUGCAACAUCUGUCACCCCACUGAUUGCCAGGGUUGAUUCGGCUGAUCUGGCUGGCUAGGCGGGUGUCCCUUUCCUCCCUCACCACUCCAUGUGCGUCCCUCCAGAAGACGACAGCCUUCCCUGAAUAGAGACGAAUAGAGACAGACCGGCGUUGGGUCGAGGGUAUACUAGUAGCUGCACUCCCCUGCUAGAACCUCCAAAGAAGCUCUCAAAAGGAAAACACGAAUCCAAACCACACAGAUGGUGGGUGUGGUGUGGAACUCUACCUUGUGCU